rnacentral:rRNA from 1 species
CGGUUGAUCCUGCCGGAGGCCACUGCUAUCGGGCUCCGACUAAGCCAUGCGAGUCUAGGGGCUCUUCGGAGCACCGGCGGACGGCUCAGUAACACGUGGACAACCUACCCUCGGGUGGGGGAUAACCUCGGGAAACUGAGGCUAAUACCCCAUAGGCCUCGGAUACUGGAAGGUUCCGAGGCUGAAAGCUCCGGCGCCCGAGGAUGGGUCUGCGACCUAUCAGGUAGUUGGUGGUGUAAAGGACCACCAAGCCUGCGACGGGUACGGGCCCUGAGAGGGGGAGCCCGGAGAUGGACUCUGAGACACGAGUCCAGGCCCUACGGGGCGCAGCAGGCGCGAAACCUUCGCAAUGCGCGAAAGCGCGACGAGGGGAGCCCGAGUGCCCUUCCUUCGGGGAGGGCUUUUCUGGAGCCUAAAAAGCUCCAGGAAUAAGGGCUGGGCAAGACGGGUGCCAGCCGCCGCGGUAAUACCCGCAGCUCAAGUGGUGGCCGCUAUUAUUGAGCCUAAAGCGUCCGUAGCCGGACCCGUAAAUCCCUGGGUAAAUCCUGGCGCUCAACGUCAGGAAUUCCGGGGAGACUGCGGGUCUUGGGACCGGGAGAGGCCGGAGGUACUCCCGGGGUAGCGGUGAAAU